UAAAACUCUCCAGGUGAUACACCAAAAUAAAAGAAACUUCCCAUUUCAUUAAGGAAAUAGCAAUACCAUCAGUACUGGCGUCCUCAGGAAAUAACAUCAUAGAAUCAUAGAAUUGUCGUGUGGAAGUAAAAUGAAAAAGUGCCAACUAUUUUUCAAAGUGGAAAGACAUAUUAGAAUCAUCUGUUCCUGAUACGAAGACACUCCGGGGCAGUGGGCUGGAAAGCAGUGCGAGCCAUUAACAAGCCUUUCUAAGCUGCGCUUGAGGUCACUGGCCAAUUUCAUGGGUGGUUCAGGACAUUCUGAGAGGAAGAUCCACUCACUACUGUGAUGCUGAUGGUAACACCCUCAUCCAAGGGAAGAGAAGAGCAGCCUUUGGUUGCCAGAACCACCCCACCACGGAGUGUGCCCUCAGGGGAGAAGAGAUUUACCUAACAGCUG